rnacentral:rRNA from 1 species
AUUGAACGCUAGCGGGAUGCUUUACACAUGCAAGUCGAACGAGUGGCGGACGGGUGAGUAAUAUAUCGGAACGUGCCCAGUAGCGGGGGAUAACUACUCGAAAGAGUGGCUAAUACCGCAUACGAUUGGAGGGGCCCAUUUGGGAUUAGCUAGUUGGUGGGGUAAAGGCUCACCAAGGCAACGAUCCGUAGCUGGUUUGAGAGGACGACCAGCCACACUGGGAUGGAGACACGGCCCAGACUCCUACGGGAGGCAGCAGGGUGGAAUUUUGGGCAAUGGGGGAAACCCUGAUCCAGCCAUCCCGCGUGUAUGAGAAGGCCUUCGGGUUGUAAAGUACUUUUGGCAGAGAAGCGGUAUCUGCAGAAUAAGCACCGGCUAACUACGUGCCAGCAGCCGCGGUAAUUC